rnacentral:rRNA from 1 species
UCCUGGCUCAGGAUGAACGCUGGCGGCAUGCCUAAUACAUGCAAGUCGAACGAGAGGAAGGAAAGCUUGCUUUUCUAAAUCUAGUGGCGAACGGGUGAGUAACACGUAGGUAACCUGCCCAUGUGCCCGGGAUAACUUCUGGAAACGGAUGCUAAAACCGGAUAGGUAGCAGACAAGCAUUUGACUGCUAUUAAAGUGGCUAAGGCCAUGAACAUGGAUGGACCUGCGGUGCAUUAGCUAGUUGGUGAGGUAACGGCCCACCAAGGCGACGAUGCAUAGCCGGCCUGAGAGGGCGGACGGCCACAUUGGGACUGAGACACGGCCCAAACUCCUACGGGAGGCAGCAGUAGGGAAUUUUCGUCAAUGGGGGGAACCCUGAACGAGCAAUGCCGCGUGAGUGAGGAAGGUCUUCGGAUCGUAAAGCUCUGUUGUAAGAGAAAAACGGCACUCAUAGGGAAUGAUGAGUGAGUGAUGGUAUCUUACCAGAAAGUCACGGCUAACUACGUGCCAGCAGCCGCGGUAAUACGUAGGUGGCGAGCGUUAUCCGGAAUGAUUGGGCGUAAAGGGUGCGUAGGUGGCAGAUCAAGUCUGGAGUAAAAGGUAUGGGCUCAACCCGUACUUGCUCUGGAAACUGAUCAGCUAGAGAACAGAAGAGGACGGCGGAACUCCAUGUGUAGCGGUG